rnacentral:rRNA from 1 species
AAGUCGUAACAAGGUUUCCGUAGGUGAACCUGCGGAAGGAUCAUUCAUAAUAAGUGUUUUAUGGCACUUUUUAAAUCCAUAUCCACCUUGUGUGCAAUGUCAGUCGAUCUUCUUCAUGGAGAUCGACCAAACAUCAACCUUUAUUUUUUAACUCUUUGUCUGAAAAAUAUUAUGAAUAAACAAUUCAAAAUACAACUUUCAACAACGGAUCUCUUGGCUCUCGCAUCGAUGAAGAACGCAGCGAAAUGCGAUACGUAAUGUGAAUUGCAGAAUUCAGUGAAUCAUCGAAUCUUUGAACGCAUAUUGCGCUCUUUGGUAUUCCGAAGAGCAUGCUUGUUUGAGUAUCAGUAAACACCUCAAAGCUUUUGGAUUUUUUAAUCGAAAAGCUUUGGACUUGAGCAAUCCCAACACCAAUCUUUUUGAGAUCGGUGGCGGGUUGCUUGAAAUGCAGGUGCAGCUGGACAUUCUCCUGAGCUAAAAGCAUAUUCAUUUAGUCCCGUCAAACGGAUUAUUACUUUUGCUGCAGCUAACAUAAAGGGAGUUUGACCGUAUUGGCUGACUGAUGCAGGAUUUCACAAGGGUCGGCAACGAUUCUUGUUAAACUCGAUCUCAAACCAAGUAAGACUACCCGCUGAACUUAA